ACGGGUGCGUAACACGUAUGUAACCUACCUUCGUCAGGGGGAUAGCCUCUCGAAAGAGAGAUUAAGACCGCAUAACAUUGCAAUAUGGCAUCAUAAAGCAAUCAAAUAUUUAUAGGACGAAGAUGGGCAUGCGGAACAUUAGCUAGUUGGUGUGGUAACGGCAUACCAAGGCUACGAUGUUUAGGGGAUCUGAGAGGAUGACCCCCCACACUGGUACUGAGACACGGACCAGACUCCUACGGGAGGCAGCAGUAAGGAAUAUUGGUCAAUGGGCGGAAGCCUGAACCAGCCAUGCCGCGUGCAGGAAGACGGCCCUACGGGUUGUAAACUGCUUUUGCAGGGGAAUAGACCUCGAUAUGUAUAUCGAGCUGAAUGUACUCUGAGAAUAAGGAUCGGCUAACUCCGUGCCAGCAGCCGCGGUAAUACGGAGGAUCCAAGCGUUAUCCGGAUUUAUUGGGUUUAAAGGGUGCGUAGGUGGUUUUUUAAGUCAGGGGUGAAAGACGGCAGCUUAACUGUCGCAGUGCCUUUGAUACUGAAGAACUUGAAUUAACUAGAGGUAGGCGGAAUGUGACAAGUAGCGGUGAAAU
rnacentral:rRNA from 1 species